rnacentral:rRNA from 1 species
UACGAAGGGUGCAAGCGUUACUCGGAAUUACUGGGCGUAAAAGCGUGCGUAGGUGGUUGUUUAAGUCUGUUGUGAAAGCCCUGGGCUCAACCUGGGAACUGCAGUGGAAACUGGACAACUAGAGUGUGGUAGAGGGUAGCGGAAUUCCCGGUGUAGCAGUGAAAUGCGUAGAGAUCGGGAGGAACAUCCAUGGCGAAGGCAGCUACCUGGACCAACACUGACACUGAGGCACGAAAGCGUGGGGAGCAAACAGG